AUCGUUCCUGCGUCUGUUACGUCAUGGAUCUCCUGAAGGCUCCGGAGGCAUUGCGGCUGACGGGUAACGUCACGGAAAACUGGAAGCGGUUUAAGCAGAAGUUUGAGUUAUUUCUGCAGGCGACGGCGGCAACGGACCAGCCGAAAACGGAAGCAUCGAAGGCAGCGCUACUGCUGAGCAUUGCCGGUGACGACGCGUUGGACGUCUUCAACAACUUCCAGUUCGGGCCGAACGAGGACAAGAACGACUACAGCACCGUGAAUGAUCAGUCCAGACAGG
rnacentral:lncRNA from 1 species